rnacentral:rRNA from 1 species
UGGCGAACGGGUGAGUAACGCGUGAGGAACCUGCCUCAAAGAGGGGGACAACAGUUGGAAACGACUGCUAAUACCGCAUAAGCCCACGACCCGGCAUCGGGUAGAGGGAAAAGGAGCAAUCCGCUUUGAGGUGGCCUCGCGUCCGAUUAGCUAGUUGGUGAGGUAAUGGCCCACCAAGGCGACGAUCGGUAGCCGGACUGAGAGGUUGAACGGCCACAUUGGGACUGAGACACGGCCCAG